ACCUCAAUCAGAAUGAAAUGCUACGGUUGGACCUUAAGAGAGCUGUGUAUAGAUGAAUGCCCGCAAAUCUCAAUGAACUGAAGUAAUGCUGUAAAGAAGAGUGGGCCGAAAUUCCUCCACAAUGAUGUGAGAGACAGAUGAAGUCAUACAGAAAAGGAUUACUUCAAGUUAUUGCUGCUAAAGAUUUCUCCGUUGUUGGAAUAGCAUCUGCACUGGAACUUUCUGACAAGAGCAAAGUGUUCACCAGUGGACAUGGAUCACUGUGAUUUGCAGAUAGUGCCUCGUCUCCUCUUCUGGCAGGCCAUCAUUACGACGAGCACAAGGAGUUAGGUGGGCAAAAAGACCUUUUGGAAAAUGUCAGCAACAGUCAGAGCCCCAAAUUUCCUCCAUUCACUAUUUCCCAUGUGAUGCUUCCCACUCUAAACCCCUUUAUUGUUAUUAUUAGUAUUAUCAUUAUUAUUAUUAUUAUUAUUGAAAAGUGUGUUGUAUCUAAGUACAGUGUCAGAUUAGCAUGUGGAUUUUUUUCUGAUGUGGUUUAUCUAAAGAGCAAAUGUAAUAAAAAUCUACACCUACAUCUCUAUUUUUCACCUAUCUCAGCAAAACAAGCAAACAAAAAAAUACUUACAAAAAAAAAACACACACACACAGCAGUGUCUGCAGCAGCAGCUCUCCUUCCCUAUUCUGUUUCAGUGGAGCCAGCUUCACUGUCUUAAUACUCUUAGCCCCUCAGUUGGCAUGUUUUCCAGGAACCCCACUGCAUUUUCAGAUUUGUAAAAUCCAUCAAAAUCCCUGUAAUGAAUAUUUCUACAGCCUUGAGUGUAUUUAAUGUGCUGUUUGACCAGCCCAGUAGGAAACAUAUGCAGAUCUGGCUCUAUAGGGCCAGAUCUGAUUAUCACCGGACACAGGCCUCAGUCAGUGUGGAAACGGUGUGAAACAGGUGAUCUUCAUUUUAACUCAAACUUCUGGCCGACUGUUGUUUAUCAAGAGUAAGGAAUGAAAUUAACAUUUAUUAUUUGUAUAUGUUAUUAGAUUUUAACUAACAUCUUUGUUGUGCAUGGGUGUACAUGUCAUGUAUAUUUCUGUUUUAUUUUAUUUUUUCAAAAAAUAAACUAAUAGUACAGGCUUCUUGAUGGAUUAAAUUGCUUCUUGUGAGCCAGGUCUUCGUUAUACACUCAGCAAUUACAUUCAACUGUCUGUUUGUCUGUUGUCUUAAAAAGCUUCUGCUGAAAAAAAACAGAUUAUGUAUUAAAUAAACUCUUGUAUCUUAUUGCUGCCCAAGAAUAAAAUAUUGUCCUUUCCAUCA